rnacentral:misc_RNA from 1 species
GAUGAAGAACGCAGCGAAAUGCGAUAGGUAGUGUGAAUUGCAGAUGUAACGUGAAUCAUCGAAUCUUUGAACGCAAAUUGCACUCUCUGGUAUUCCGGGGAGUAUGCCUGUUUGAGGGUCGCCAAAUCAACAUCGAAAUUCAUUUGCUUUUGUAAAUGUUUAUCGGAUUUGAGCCGUCUUAUUUUUUUAAUUAAAGUGGCUUAAAAUGUAUUUUUUGGUAUCGAAAAACGUUAUUUUACGAUCAAAUUGAUUAAAAAAACAAACGUUUCGAAUGCCGUCUUUUAAUGUAAUACGCUUGACUGUGGUGUUAAUCAUAGUUUUCAUUCGUAUACGAUUUUUUAAUUUUUGACCUCAAAUCAGGUAAGAACACCCGCUGAACUUAAGCAUAUCAAUAAGCGGAGGA